GCGACGACGGGUAGCCGGCCUGAGAGGGUGGACGGCCACACUGGGACUGAGACACGGCCCAGACUCCUACGGGAGGCAGCAGUGGGGAAUAUUGCACAAUGGGCGCAAGCCUGAUGCAGCGACGCCGCGUGAGGGAUGAAGGCCUUCGGGUUGUAAACCUCUUUCAGUAGGGAAGAAGCGAAAGUGACGGUACCUGCAGAAGAAGCGCCGGCUAACUACGUGCCAGCAGCCGCGGUAAUACGUAGGGCGCAAGCGUUAUCCGGAAUUAUUGGGCGUAAAGAGCUCGUAGGCGGUUUGUCGCGUCUGCCGUGAAAGUCCGGGGCUUAACUCCGGAUCUGCGGUGGGUACGGGCAGACUUGAGUGAUGUAGGGGAGACUGGAAUUCCUGGUGUAGCGGUGAAAUGCGCAGAUAUCAGGAGGAACACCGAUGGCGAAGGCAGGUCUCUGGGCAUUAACUGACGCUGAGGAGCGAAAGCAUGGGGAGCGAACAGGAUUAGAUACCCGGUAGUCC
rnacentral:rRNA from 1 species